CACUCUAGAGAGACUGCCAGGGAUAACCUGGAGGAAGGUGGGGAUGACGUCAAAUCAUCAUGCCCCUUAUGCUUAGGGCUACACACGUGCUACAAUGGGUAGUACAGAGGGUUGCCAAGCCGUAAGGUGGAGCUAAUCCCUUAAAGCUACUCUUAGUUCGGAUUGUAGGCUGAAACUCGCCUACAUGAAGCUGGAGUUACUAGUAAUCGCAGAUCAGAAUGCUGCGGUGAAUGCGUUCCCGGGUCUUGUACACACCGCCCGUCACACCACGGGAGGUGGAGACGCCCGAAGCCGAUUAUCUAACCUUUUGGAAGAAGUCGUCGAAGGUGGAAUCAAUAACUGGGGUGAAGUCGUAACAAGGUAGCCGUAUCGGAAGGUGCGGCUGGAUCACCUCCUUUCUAAGGAGA
rnacentral:rRNA from 1 species